UUGUUUGGAUCUCAUUAUCAUUUGAACUUCCACCAAAGUAACAGUACCUUCUUUACCAUAAAGAAGAACAUCAUUGAAGUGCUCCAAGGAUCUGGGUAAUGAUCUUAACAAGAGUAGAGUUUUGUCCUUAUCAUCAAUCUUCACCUCAAUAUUCUUAACAUCAUCAAUGCUUUUGUGAAAACUUGUCAACUAUUCCAUUGUGGAUUUGUUAUCUGACAUUCAUUAAGAGUGGAGUUUUUGUUUCAGACGCAACAUGUGACCUAAAAACUUGGUCAUAUACAAUGAUUCAAGUUUUGUCCACAUCAAAGUCACAGUCUUCUUCCUGUCAACUUCUCUUAGAAAUUUAUCCUCAAGAUACUAUAGUUUUACUUGGAGAAUUGAAAGAGGAUUUAAAUAAGAGGUUGAAAAUUUGAAGACGAGCUUUAGAAGUGUAUGAAAUUUGUCUAAUAAGAGUUAAGAUAAAGUAUAUGGAAUUUACGAUUAGCAAAAAGAGAAGUGUUCCUAACAUAUAGGUGCAAGUUGUUGAGCACAUCAUACUACAAGUUAUGCAAUUUAAAUA